GACGAACGCUGGCGGCGUGCUUAACACAUGCAAGUCGAACGGAAAGGCCCUGCUUUUGUGGGGUGCUCGAGUGGCGAACGGGUGAGUAACACGUGAGUAACCUGCCCUUGACUUUGGGAUAACUUCAGGAAACUGGGGCUAAUACCGGAUAGGAGCUCCUGCUGCAUGGUGGGGGUUGGAAAGUUUCGGUGGUUGGGGAUGGACUCGCGGCUUAUCAGCUUGUUGGUGGGGUAGUGGCUUACCAAGGCUUUGACGGGUAGCCGGCCUGAGAGGGUGACCGGCCACAAUGGGACUGGGAUACGGCCCAGACUCCUACGGGAGGCAGCAGGGGGGAAUAUUGCACAAUGGGCGGAAGCCUGAUGCAGCAACGCCGCGUGCGGGAUGACGGCCUUCGGGUUGUAAACCGCUUUCGCCUGUGACGAAGCGUGAGUGACGGUAAUGGGUAAAGAAGCACCGGCUAACUACGUG
rnacentral:rRNA from 1 species